GUGCUCACUUCGGGAGCACAUAUGCAAAAAUUGGAAUGAUAGCAUAGCUCCCGUGUAAAGAAGACAUACAAAUUUGUGAAGCAUUCCAUAUUUUU
ensembl:snRNA U6 U6 spliceosomal RNA